UGAAGCAGGAAGACUGCAGUCAAACUCUGGGACUGAAUGGUGUUAAAAAAGAAGAGAAUGAGCAGAUUGGGAUUCCCAUAAAAAAUGAAGAGGAGAAGAUUAGGGUUAUCAUUAAAAAGGAAGAGGAGAUUGGGGUUAUCAUUAAAAAUGAAAAGGCGGAGAAGAUUGUGGAUUCAAUUAAUCAAGAUUCCCAUGAUGGGGCUGAGGAUAACACGGCUGGAGGAAGAAAAUGCCAGAAUGAACGUUAUUGGAAGAAGUGUGUUCAGAAGAGGAGAAGAAUGAUGGGAGGAAAAAGAAAGGAGGGGUUACCAAGGAGUCCCGGGUGAUGGGACCAAGAUGCCAGUCUACCGCGCAUGUCAGGUCCUCCAUGCAGUGCAGUACGAUUGGAGAGGCCGACCGGGAGAAGAUUUUUAAAUGCUUCCGGGAGAACAUGAACUGGGUAGAGAAAAGAAUGUAUGUGUGUAAUUUGGUAGAUGUCACCCCAGUGCAGAGAAGAAGGGGCUCUGAAAAUUCAAGAAGGUCAUCUACUCUUGUUUUCUUCUUGAAAGUUGAAGGGCAGAGGAGGAGGGUAUGCAAGAGUUUGUUUCUGGCAACGCUUGGAAUAGGGGAAUGGUCUGCCCAUUACUGGGUGAAAGACACCGGCGAGACACAGAAGAACAUGUAGCGUCAUGCCACAGAGGUGAGGCUCAUGAGUUCAUGAGGUGUUUUCCACCGGAUCCCUUUAAGCUGCCGUCCCACUACUGUGUUUUCAGCUUCAGAACACUACCUGGAGGCUGUCUUUAGUGACCUGCAGAAAUACCAUUGUGCUGCUGAGGAGAAGAUGCUGAGACCACUACAAAGCAGGUGUUCUCAGAAUAAUUUAAGGGGCAGAACCUGGGUCUUUACCAUCCAAAGAAGAACCAGUGUGACACCUGCUGCUCCUUCAAGGCUAGCAGCUUGUCAGAUAAUUGGUGGCAGGACCAUUUAAAAAGGAAGAGGCCCGUGCAGAACAAAAAUGAUGCGAAUUACAAGACCGUGGUUGUCUGCAUGGAUCUGCAAGCCCUCCUCUGACCUAGAUCGAAAGUGUCGGCUCUUUACUACAAGAGAACUCAUCAUCUGCUACUUUUACUUACAAUUUCUGACCUAUCUACACAAGCCACUUGCAAUGUCUGGCAUGAAGGUGAGGGAGCUCUGCCUGCCAGUGAGCUUACGUCCCGUGUCAGCAAUUUCCUCUCUGUGCACGAGGAGCACAGUCUGUGGAGUGAUGGUUGUGGAUACCGAAACUGCAAUUCGAUGCUCAGCAAUGCUCUUCUGAAGUUCUCCACAGAGAUGACUGUAGUCACCCAGACAUUCUUGGAAAAGGGGCACACAGAUGGAAUUUGGCUUCCAUGCAAAGUGUCAUCGAGAGGCAUCUGAGGAACCAGGAACUCUUAUGUCCCGGCUGAAUAUGUUGCCCAGAUGAAGAGCGCGCGGUACAAGCCCAACCCAUAGGGAGUCCAGUAUGUGGAUCCAUAUCUUCUUCCUAGACUUGACCAGACGGAGGUUCUUCAAGUCUAUCUGUACCGGGACCAAACCCGGUGACACCUCUUGUCCAUGAUGUCAGAGCCAUCGGGUACAACAUCAAUGGGGUAAUGGACUUCAUGGUUGCAGGACUUCCAAAACACCUGCUCUGGCACACCACCUCAGACACUCCUGCGGUCAAACCACCUUACACAGAGAGCCAGAAGAUCAAAUAAAUACAAACACCCCUGAAACCUCAAGGGGGUCAUAAUAUCUUUCAUGACAAUCUAAAACACUAGGAAACAAACACACUAAGUCACUUGUGUGUGUGUGUAAUAACACACAAAGGAAUAGACUGUUAAUAAAUUAUGGAUAAAUAAAUUAAACUCUUAAACAUUAGGAAACACACACCUAGUUAUCUACACUGCUCAAAGAAAUGUGCCAUCCUGGAGAAGCUGGACUACCUGUACAAACUGAGUGGGCUGCAGAUACCGCCUCGUGCUAUCAAUAGUGACAAGAACACUAGCAAAACGCAAAACUCGAAAAGAAUCAGUCAAGAAGGAUAAGGAGAAAGCAAUUGUCUGUGGCCAUCACCUGCAAAACCAUUCCCUUUUUGGAGGUUGUCUUGCUGUUGCCUGUCUAGUGCAUCUGUUGUCUCUUUCAUUUGCACAAACACCGGUGACAUUAAUUCACAAUCACUUAUGCACCCUAACUGGACAGAUGGAUAUC